rnacentral:rRNA from 1 species
ACUACGGGCGGCAGCAGUGGGGAAUAUUGCACAAUGGGGGAAACCCUGAUGCAGCGACGCCGCGUGAGUGAAGAAGUAUCUCGGUACGUAAAGCUCUAUCAGCAGGAAAGAAAAUGACGGUACCUGACUAAGAAGCCCCGGCUAACUACGUGCCAGCAGCCGCGGUAAUACGUAGGGGGCAAGCGUGAUCCGGAUUUACUGGGUGUAAAGGGAGCGUAGACGGCGAUGCAAGUCUGAAGUGAAAGGCGGGGGCCCAACCCCCGGACUGCUUUGGAAACUGUAUGGCUGGAGUGCAGGAGAGGUAAGUGGAAUUCCUAGUGUAGCGGUGAAAUGCGUAGAUAUUAGGAGGAACACCAGUGGCGAAGGCGGCUUACUGGACUGUAACUGACGUUGAGGCUCGAAAGCGUGGGGAGCAAACAGGAUUAGAUACCCCGGUAGUC